ACCUUAAAGCUAGUUUAUAUACCAAAAAACACAACAAUAUCAAACCCACCAUCCUUAAAUACCUAAUUUAAAACAUUUUCAUUUUUCCUAGUAUAGGUGAUAGAAAAG
rnacentral:rRNA from 1 species